CCUACGGGUGGCAGCAGUGAGGAAUAUUGGUCAAUGGGCGGAAGCCUGAACCAGCCAAGUAGCGUGCAGGAUGACGGCCCUACGGGUUGUAAACUGCUUUUAUACGGGAAUAACGCGCCUUACGUGUAGGGCUUUGCAUGUACCGUAUGAAUAAGGACCGGCUAACUCCGUGCCAGCAGCCGCGGUAAUACGGACGGUCCGGGCGUUAUCCGGAUUUAUUGGGUUUAAAGGGAGCGUAGGCCGCCUGUCAAGCGUGCUGGUCAAUGUCCGGGCUCAACCCGGGCCUUGCAGCGCGAACUGGCGUGCUUGCGUCAGCGGACAGCAGGCGCAAUUCGUAGUGUAGCGGUGAAAUGCUUAGAUAUGACGAAGAACCCCGAUUGCGAAGGCAGCUUGCUGCAGCGGAACUGACGCUGAUGCUCGAACGCGCGGGUAUCGAACAGGAUUAGAUACCCGAGUAGUC
rnacentral:rRNA from 1 species